ensembl:snRNA U6 U6 spliceosomal RNA
GUGCUCGCUCCGGCAGCACAUGUACUAAAACUGGAGCGGUACAGAGAUCACCACGGCCCCUGCGCAAGGAUGAC